rnacentral:misc_RNA from 1 species
AAUUCAUAAUUAUAAUAAUUACAAUUAGGUAGAAUUGGACUAGGCAAAGUGGAGUGACAAUCAAAUAAUAUGUAAAUAUAACCAACCCAAUAUGAAAGGUAUUGGAAGUUGAAACAUUUUUUAUUUUGGUGCAUUAAAAGUUGUGAUCCCUUUUGUUUGGAUUAAGGGAAAUGAAGCCAAAAGAAGAGAAAAGAAAAAAAUUUAAUUUUGUUAAAUUUCUUGUUUGUACAUUAAAUAAAAAAAAGAGAAUUGAAGAAAAAGGAAAAGAAAUGAGUAUAUAUUUUAAUUCAAAAUAUUUCUCUUCAAAUUAGU